UGCAGGCAAUAAUAAGAAUUCUAUGUUCGCUAAUGGGACAUUUAAUGGGCUAUUAUUAGCUGUUCGUUUGGAUGCUUCUCAGAUGAAUUAACAUGCUUUUUAUUAUUUACAGAUUGUGGAUAAAGAUGUUACACCACUGGGUGUUUUUAUAUAAUGAUUACGCUGGACUGCCUUAAAGGUUGCUGGACCGUGAAUGUGUUUAGAGGUCACUGGACCAUAUGUUUAAGUGUCACUGGACGUACAUCUUAUAAGAUGUUUUACGUAUUUGCAUUGUGUAGUGUUGGUCACAGGACCAUAUAGAAAUCAUAACGAUUAUUUUGUUGCAGAACAUGAUAUUGUCCAAGAUUCUGUCAGGCAGUGUAUCUUGUGUUUUUGAUGGACUUUAUUAUUUUAGUUUGAUGGACUUAACCAGAUCAGAUACAUAUUGUAUUAGGAAAAUAAAAUUUAAGGUGGUCACUGCGCCAUUCAGUAUCCAAA